rnacentral:rRNA from 1 species
CCAGACUCCUACGGGAGGCAGCAGUGAGGAAUAUUGGUCAAUGGUCGGGAGACUGAACCAGCCAAGCCGCGUGAGGGAUGAAGGUACAGAGUAUCGUAAACCUCUUUUGUCAGGGAACAAAGGCGGGGACGCGUCCCCGGAUGAGUGUACCUGAAGAAAAAGCAUCGGCUAACUCCGUGCCAGCAGCCGCGGUAAUACGGAGGAUGCGAGCGUUAUCCGGAUUUAUUGGGUUUAAAGGGUGCGUAGGCGGAGUGUCAAGUCAGCGGUAAAAUUUCGGGGCUCAACCCCGUCGUGCCGUUGAAACUGUCGGACUAGAGACGGCGAGAAGUACGCGGAAUGCGCGGUGUAGCGGUGAAAUGCAUAGAUAUCGCGCAGAACUCCGAUUGCGAAGGCAGCGUACCGGCGCCGGACUGACGCUGAGGCACGAAAGCGUGGGUAUCGAACAGGAUUAGAUACCCGCGUA